AGACCUGUCUGGUAAUUGGUAUGGUAGCUUCCCUAGCCCAUAGACCAAGCCCCAAGGAUCCAGUCUUUAAUCUUUGUUUAUCCUUUUAGACAAUUAUGCGACAAAAAAUGAGCAGCAGACCAGGACUCUCCUCCGAUUUCGACAAGAAAGCCCAAGAUCUGUUAACGAGAAAGAACCUAAAGGAUCAGAAAGUCUCUGUUUUAGCGAGCAGUGUUACGGAAUUUUAAGGCAAAAUGUUAUGCCUCUUCCGCACACAGUGGGGUCCUACCUGGCAAUGGUGGCCCCACACGGGAACACCCUGCCACCUAGUGAGGCCACACAACAUCACGGGAACAACUCUCUCUUUUCUCUUCUAUUUCUUUUUUGACAGUUAAAAAGUUUAAGAAUUGAAAGAUGGAAUCUUCAUCAUCAUCAUCGGAUGAUUGGUCGAAGGAUUGUAGCACAAUUUUUCUCACAACAAUCGUAGGAGCAGCAAGCCUCAUUUUGGCUGCUGAAGCUGAAAGUUCACUUUCAAGAACAGGAAGAGCUGCUUUAAACAGAGAUCGUGAAGCUGCACAGGAUAGUCUCAAUACUGUAAGAUAUUCACCAAAGAGACCAGUUGAGAAUGAUGUUAAUGGGAUGAAUCUAGUGUCAAACACUAGAUCCACCUCAGGAGCUAAAAGUCAAACCAUUGGAGCCAAAAGGCAAAAGAAAACAAACGAAGGCUUAAAAGAUACGGGUUUGCAAAUAAAUGGUCAUCCUCAGACAAAUGCUUUGGCUUCUGAAAAUGUAGCUACAACCAAUUCUAAAUUGGAGACUGAGAUUGAAAAAUCUCUUUCUAGCGGGCAGCAGGAUGCGUUGAAUUCAAAAAAACGUCCUUGUGCCUUUUGUCAUUCUUCUAGUCAGACAGAGGGAAGUGGACCAUUUGUGUCUUUUGCCCAAGGGAAGGAAGUAGUGGGGUCUUUGGCCAACUUCUCUAAGGUUACACAUGUUCACAGAAAUUGUAUUCAGUGGGCUCCUCGGAUUUACUUUAAGGAUGGAAUUAUUCAGAAUUUAGAAUCAGAAGUGACAAGGGCUAACAAGCUUAAAUGCAGCAGCUGUGGUAAAAAGGGAGCUGGUCUUGGCUGCUAUAUGGAGACAUGCCAAAGAAGUUACCAUGUGCCUUGUGCAUAUUACAUUCCUGAGUGCAGAUGGGAUGACACCUAUUUAAUGUUAUGUCCAAAGCAUAGAAAAAUGAAAUUUCCAAGCGAAAUGGAUGCGGAUGAUGUGAAGCAAGACACUGAGAAAAGAACAUCUACACAUCUGAAUCCCUGCACAACACCGUUGGAUGCCAGACAGAAUUUGGUGUUUUGUGGCUCGGAUCUUUCUACAGAAGAAAAGUGCUCUGUGGUUGAAUUUGCAAGCAAUAAUGAGGCAGUAGUGUUCAGAUACUGGAAACCUAAUGUUACCCAUGUCAUUGCUGCCACAGAUUCAAAUGGUGCAUGCACAAGGACAUAUAAAGUUCUGAUGGCUAUUUUGAAUGGAGUAUGGAUUGUUAGUGUUGAAUGGGUAAAUGCUUGUAUGGAAGCUCGGUGUCUUGUGAAUGAAGAACCAUAUGAAGUUCAUCUAGAUACCCAUGGCUGUACUGGUGGUCCCAAAGCUGGGAGGCUAAGAGUUCUAAAUAAUUAGGUUGGUUCCUCUGGACUCGGUUCUUUCCUCAAAAAGUACUCUCAGUAUAGAACUUCUACGAGGAUUUCGAUUUUCAUCAGCUUUUACGGCUUCACUAACCCUUCAGACUCAUUUAAAAGUAGUGUCAUUGAGAUGCCUCAUGGACCGCUAAAAACACCCGCUACCUGAGACACUUCUCAAACACAGCUAAGACAUUGACAUGAGAUUUUUUCCAGCCAUGCCCAACAAAAUACCCAAAAUGCCCUUGAAUUGUUCCAGCGUCCAUAUUGCGUCUGAGAUGCUCAUGCGUCUAACUUGGCUUUAGAGGGCGUUUUAAGAUUUAUUUGACCACUUUUCACUUUUUCUCUCACAAAAAGGCAGUCACCCCACCAAAAUUUUUGCAACUUCAGAGCUAAAAAAAAUCACCAUUUUUCAUCGUUAUUAUUGUUAUUAUUUUUGCAAAAUCGUCUAAUCAAACACCAAAAUCAUCUAUAUUUAAAAAUAAAUAAAUAAAAGAAUACCACAUUUGGGGCCGAUGUUGAAGUGUAGAAAACUUGGGGUUUCGAAUUUUUGGAGUUUUCUUUCAAGUCUUGUACUUCCUUAAUUAUAUCCAUCAUCAAUUUCAUAUGGCACCUAAAAGAGGUAAAAAUCGACAAUGAUUGCAUCACGAGCAUCAAGUAGUCGGGAAUCGCGUGUCGAUUGAGGAUGUGAGAUAUGAGCACUUCUAUUUGCAUUUAGAUUGUGUUGGCCCGACGCUUUAAGAGUCGACACACCCGCCCGAUAGAGCAUAUGUUGGUUGAGUAUGGUGUGGAGCGGGUUAGCUUUCUGGGGUAUAAUGCUGUGGAGGCUUUUGAGCGAUACGGUUAGGGAGACGUCAUAUAUUUUGAUCUUACAUGCAUAUACGUCGAGUUAGAGUGAGAGUGGAUGCGGAUGCUCUACAAGGAUGAUUUAGAGGGCGGAUUAGAGGGAAUGAGACUAAACGGUGUAGUCAGAGACCAUGAGAUAGCUAUGACCGUCCCAAUGAUUAGGGAGUAUUUCCAUGUUGACAUUGGGUUCACUCCCACAAUUUAGAAAACCUGCCCACAGAGUACUUUUGCAUAGAUACUAAGGGGGGCUGCAAUGACACAUGACGUUUUGGUGCCCGACUCUGUUCUUAUUUCUUUUGUUUAGGAUGCCCUAUGCAAUAUUUGGUGUAAAUGCGCCAUCAAGGAUCGGGUGACAACUCCCUAUAUUUGCCUCAUUUCAACGUUUGUGGUCUGUGAGCCAAGACACAGGAUCCAUCACUUCAAUGGCCUUUCUUUUUCAACACUAUUCUUAGACCCACUAUCGAAUGAAAUCUGUCCGAACGCGACGGGAGUGGGCCUGAGAAUAGUGUUGAACGAGAAAGCCCAUGAAAGUUCCCGAAUCCUAUGUCCUAGUUCUUGGACCAGGAAUGCUGAAAUGAGGCACGUAUGUAGAGUGGUCACCCGACCUUGGUGUCAAAUGUACACCAAAUGUUGCAUAAGCAUAAGACAUUGUAUAUAAAAGAAAUAAAGAUAGAACUGCUCAUCUAAGCAUACAAUACCACAUUGUCUUGUGUCCUCACUGCUCCGACAUCCUUGUCUUGCGGGUUGACGUUUAGAAAGACUAUAUGCCAUAGUGCCUAUGCCAACCACACCUAAUCAACCAAUUGAUCCGCCCUUCGAGUUUGUUCCGUUUAAAUAUCACGUCUAAUAUUAUCCUAAUUUUCACUCGUGCAUCCCUCUCAAGUGUCUAUGUAACGGUACUCCAUGGGUAGAUCAUAACAAUCUCAUGACCUCUAACUGGACCACUCAUUCUCAUCCCCUCUGGUCCACCCUCUAAAUCAUCCAUGCGGAGCGUCUACAUCCAUUCUCACAUUAACUAGACACACAUGCAUGUAUUUUCAAAAUCUUAGUCUCCUCCCCAACUAUAUCGUUCAAAAGUCUCCACAACGUUAUAUACUCGAAAGCUAACCCACUCCACAUCAUACUCAACUAGUAUAUGCUCUAUUGGGUGUGUUGAUUCCCAAAGUGUUGGGCAACCACGAUCUGAAUGCUUGUGGAGGUGCCCAUCCCAGGUCGGUGCAUACCGGUGGUGCCCGACUACUCGAUGCUUUUGUGGUAUUUUCAUGUGUAUCCUUGAAAAUGUGGGUGAUUUUGGUGUUUGAAAGAUUUUGCAAAAAUAUUGGUGGUUUUGAGCUCCAAAAUUGCAAAAAUGGUGGUGGGGUGGCUGCCUUCUCAUGAGAAAGAAAGUGGGGGAGGAGUGGUAAAAUAAAUCCUAAAACGCGCUCUAAAGCUAAGUCAGACGCCGGUACAAUUCAAGGGCCUUUCAGGGUCCAAAACUUUUCAAGAAUUUGGAAUUUUACUUUGUUGGGGAUUAUAUAGAAGCUCACAAGAGUGAUCUCAAAGAGUUGGUUACAACUGCUGGAGGCACAAUUAUCGAGGCCAGGGAUCAAUUACUGUCAUCAAG